rnacentral:rRNA from 1 species
AUUGAACGCUAGCGGGAUGCUUUACACAUGCAAGUCGAACGGCAGCGCGGACUUCGGUCUGGCGGCGAGUGGCGAACGGGUGAGUAAUGUAUCGGAACGUGCCCAGUAGCGGGGGAUAACUACGCGAAAGCGUAGCUAAUACCGCAUACGCCCUACGGGGGAAACAGGGGAUUGUAAGAACCUGCACCAUUGGAGCGGCCGAUAUCGGAUUAGCUAGUUGGUGAGGUAACGGCUCACCAAGGCGACGAUCCGUAGCUGGUUUGAGAGGACGACCAGCCACACUGGGACUGAGACACGGCCCAGACUCCUACGGGAGGCAGCAGUGGGGAAUUUUGGACAAUGGGGGCAACCCUGAUCCAGCCAUCCCGCGUGUGCGAUGAAGGCCUUCGGGUUGUAAAGCACUUUUGGCAGGAAAGAAACGUCGCGGGCUAAUACCCCGUGGAACUGACGGUACCUGCAGAAUAAGCACCGGCUAACUACGUG